AGUGAACGCUGGCGGUAGGCCUAACACAUGCAAGUCGAACGGCAGCACAGUAAGAGCUUGCUCUUACGGGUGGCGAGUGGCGGACGGGUGAGGAAUACAUCGGAAUCUACUUUUUCGUGGGGGAUAACGUAGGGAAACUUACGCUAAUACCGCAUACGACCUACGGGUGAAAGCAGGGGAUCUUCGGACCUUGCGCGAUUGAAUGAGCCGAUGUCGGAUUAGCUAGUUGGCGGGGUAAAGGCCCACCAAGGCGACGAUCCGUAGCUGGUCUGAGAGGAUGAUCAGCCACACUGGACCUGAGACACGGUCCAGACUCCUACGGGAGGCACCAGUGGGGAAUAUUGGACAAUGGGCGCAAGCCUGAUCCAGCCAUACCGCGUGGGUGAAGAAGGCCUUCGGGUUGUAAAGCCCUUUUGUUGGGAAGAAAAAGCAGCAGGUUAAUACCCCGCUGUUCUGACGGUACCCAAAGAAUAAGCACCGGCUAACUUCGUG
rnacentral:rRNA from 1 species